rnacentral:rRNA from 1 species
UACGUAGGGUGCGAGCGUUGUCCGGAAUUAUUGGGCGUAAAGGGCUCGUAGGCGGUCCGUCACGUCGGGAGUGAAAACUCGGGGCUCAACCCCGAGCCUGCUUCCGAUACGGGCGGACUAGAGGUAGGUAGGGGAGAACGGAAUUCCUGGUGUAGCGGUGGAAUGCGCAGAUAUCAGGAGGAACACCGGUGGCGAAGGCGGUUCUCUGGGCCUUACCUGACGCUGAGGAGCGAAAGCGUGGGGAGCGAACAGG